UUUUUUUUUUUUUUUUUUUUUGUCUUUUUGCUAUUUCUUUGGGCCGCUCCCGUGGCGUAUGGAGUUUCCCAGGCUAGGGGUCGAAUCGGAACUGUAGCCCCCGGCCUACACCAGAGCCACAGCAACUCAGGAUCCGAGCCGCAUCUGCUACACCACAGCUCACAGCAACGCCGGAUCGUUAACCCACUGAGCAAGGGCAGGGACCGAACCCGCAACCUCAUGGUUCCUAGUCGGAUUAGUUAACCACUGCGCCAUGACGGGAACUCCUGCACUUGAAUUUUUAAAAUAAUGUGAUUUUUGAUCAUGUAUCCUUGUAAAAAACCAAAACACAAAGCAAUAUUGUUUAAAUGUUUUUUUUCUUCUACAGUCAGUACCAUAUAAUCUUGGUUUUGCAGAUGAGACAAUUGAGUGACUGAAGGGUGAAGGAAGAGUAUUCAAACUCACACAGUUUGUAAGUGACAGAACUAGUGGUAGGACUUGGUCUCUAAAGCCCACAUUCUGAACCAGUAUACCUAGGAAGAAGAAAAAAGACAUUUUUUGAAUUAUCUCAGCCCACAGUGGUUAACGUUAGGCUGGGUUCAUAUCUCUUUGUGUGGAAAUUAGACUUCAGGAGUCAUUCUAGUGUGCACUUGAGUUUUAAGAAAAACAGAAAGGGAAAGAUUAUAAAAACAAAAUGCAUUGUAUGGAUAUUUCACAAUAUUUUUAUCUGUUGUGGAGAUUUCAGUUUUUUCCAGUUUUGUGACUGAAUAUUGAAUAAUGGAGCCAUGAACUUUCUUGGAUGGAUUUUUUUUUUUUUCAUUUCUUGGGCAUGUACCUAGGAGUGGCAUUUCUGAGUAGGUGUAUGUUCAGUUCAGUAGAUACUUCCAAUGAAUUUUUUAAAGUAGCUGUUCCAAUCUAUAUUCAUCACCAGCAGAUUAUAAAAGUUCUAUUUGCUCUUUGUCCUUGCCAACACUUGGUAUUUUCCACCUUUUUCUUUCUUUUUUUAAACUACUUUAUUUUUAUUUUUAUUUUUAUUUAUUUAUUUUUUGUCUUUUGUCUUUUUAGGGCCAUACCCAUGGCAUAUGGAGGUUACCAGGCUAGGGGUCAAAUCGGAGCUAUAGCCGCUGGCCUACACCACAGCCACAGCAAUGGCAGAUCUGAGCCACGCCUGCAACUUACACCAUAGUUCAUGGCAAUGCCAGAUCCUUAACCCACUGAGGAAGGCCAGGGAUUGAACCUGCAACCUCAUGGUUCCUAGUUGCAUUCGUUUCCACUGUACCACAAUAGGAACUCUACCUUUUUCAUUCUUGUUCUUCUAGUCCAUGUGUGGUAGUAUCUCAUGUGAUUUUAAUUUUAAUAUAUCUGAAAUGUCUCUUUUUUAUCUAAAUAAUGUCUAGUCUCUCUUUGUUUAACCUUCUAAUUUAUUUGCUUAAGAAACUAUAACUUUUUCUUGUGGAGUUUGCUCUCUGUAUUUUGCUGAUUGUAUUACUAUUGUGUUAUUUAUUAUGUUCCACUGGCCCCCUCCUAUUUCCUUUAAAUUGAUAAGUAGAUUUAGAGGCUUGAUCAGAUUCAGGUUUUUUUGGCAAGAAUACCUCAAAUGUGGUGUUGUACUUCCUGUAGCCUUACACCUGGGGGCUCGUCUUGUCUGGUUGUCUCUCCUGUGUUUUUGAGAUUGAUUACUGGGUCUCAGGUGUUGUCAGACUGAUUCAUCCAUCUUCAGAUUUCCCAUCUGCACUUCAUCACAUAUUUUUUGCAGCCUCUGAAGAUUGUUGCCUAGAUCUCAAUUUCAUUAAAGAUGCAGAAAGGUGAUGUUUUAAUUCUAUUCUUUCUUCUGCAUUUAUUAGCUGGAAUUCUUCUAUAAAGUAACUGUGAGGUUACAUUGAGGUAUGGUACACACAGGAAGGGUAGGAAGAAUGUAUGUAUAAUUCUUUUGCAUUAUUUCCACUUUUCAGAAUAAUGAGUUCUUUCCCUGGGAUCCACCGAAGGUGAGCCAUGAGUUGUUUAAGCUGCCAUAAUGAGCUCCUAGAUGCUUAUAUAUUUGAUGUGGUUUAACCCAUUGUAGUCAUUAAUCUUUUUGAUGUUCAAAUUGUUCUCUUUGUCCAGUGGGAGCCUCUUCAGGUUGGCAUGAGCCUUUUUGAUGUGCUUUUUGCAAUGAGAGUUUGGUCUCAACUCAUGUGGUACAAUCCCUACCCAGACCUAGAAGGAAGACUGCCUGGUUCCUUGUAGUGGGGAAUGUUUUCAGAGGAUUCAAUCUGGGGACUAGAGUUGACCAUUGCUACUGGAUUGGUUAUUGUUUCUUGACCUUUUUAGUGCAAGGAUCCUGGAAAUAUUUAUUAUAUUUGUAGGAGAAUAUACAUCAUUGCCUUGCAUCAUGGGCUGCUCCUCUAUCUGCUUAGAGGUAAUUAUUUUCGUCCAUUUUGGUUUUAACUUUCCAUAUUUUAUUAUUAUUUUUUCCAUUUAAUUUUUUUAAUUUUUUUAAUUUUUAUAUUCCCCAAUACAAUUUUUUUCUACUGUACAGCAUGGUGACCCAGUUACACAUACAUGUGUACAUUCUUUUUUCUCCCAUUAUCAUGCUCCAUCAUAAGUGACUAGACAUGGUUCUUAGUGCUACACAGCAGAAUCUGUGUAAAGGAAUCUGUUUAUUUCUACACAGCAAAGGAGACCAAAAAGAAAACAAAAAGACAACUUACAGAAUGGGAGAAUAUAGUUUCAAAUGAUGCAACGGACAAGGGCUUAAUCUCUAAAUUAUAUGAGAACUUAUACAACUCAAUGGCAAAAAAGCCAACAACCCAAUGGAAAAAUUGGCAGAAGACCUGAAUAGACAUUUCUCCAAGGAAGAUAUACAGAUGGCCAACAAGCACAUGAAAAAAUGCUCAACAUCCAUGAUUAUUAGAGAAUUGCAAAUCAAAACUAUCAUGAGAUACCACCUCACACCAGUCAGAAUGGCCAUCAUUAAUAAGUCCACAAAUAACAAAUGCUGGAGCAGGUGUGGAGAAAAGGGAAACUUCCUGUACUGUUGGUGGGAAUGUAAGCUGGUACAACCACUAUGGAGAACAGUAUGGAGGUACCUUAGAAAACUAUACAUAGACUACCAUAUGAUCCAGCAACUCCACUCUUGGGCAUAUAUCCAGACAAAACUUUCCUUAAUUUUCAAUAUUUUAAACAUAUAAGCAAAUGAAAUAUGUAUAUUAGUCUCCUUUCCUAUUCACAUGUGAAAGGUGGCACAUUCUUCAUCAGCACUGUCCCAUAGAAAUUUCUGCAGAAGUGAGAAUGUCCUAUAUCUGAACUAACAUUGUAGCCACGAAGCAACAAGUGGCUGCUGAGCACCUAGAAUAUGGCCAGUUCAACUGAAUAACUGAAUUCUCAAUUUCAUUUAUUUUUUAAAUUAAAAUUUUAUAGUUGUUUGUGGCUAGUGGCUACCAUAUUAGAUAGCAGCAGCUCUACACAUGUUUUCUGCACCUUGCUUUUUUCACUUAGAAAUAUAUCCUGGUGAUCACUCCAUAACAAUCUAGAGAGGGAGUCCUCAUUGCUUUUUAUGGCUGCCUAGUAGUCUCCAAUGUAAAUUACUCACCCAGCCCCCUAUUGGUGGACAUUUGUCUUGUUGCUACUCUUCUGUUGUUAUGGAUGUUAUGGAUGUUAUCUAUGAGGGAUGGCCUUAUGCUUAUUAUGACUUCUUGUAUUUUUACAUUGUUUUGGGGGGAUAAAUUCUUAAAAGAAAGAUUUCUGGCUUCAAGAGUAAAUACCUAUGUAAUUUUACUGAAUAGUAUCAAAUCGCUUCUAUAGGGCAGUGUCAUUUUACAUUACCACCAGCAAUAUAUGAGAAUGUUUAUUUCUUCACAGACUAUCUCAUUCGUAAGAAGAGGUAUCUCAUUUUAGUUAUUUUCCUUUACAUUGCUUAUCAUGAGUUAGGUUGAGCAUUUUUCUUGUGUUUAAAGAUUUUUUCUUUUCUUUUUUCUUUUUUUUUUUUUUUUUUUUUUUUUGCUGUUGAGUCUACAUCUUUUUGGUGAAAUACCUGCCUGUAUUUAUUGCUCCUUUUUUUCUCUCAUCUUGUUGGUUUUUGCAUUCAUUUUUUCAUAAAAUUUCUACAUAUUAAGGAUAUAAUUAUUUGUGAUCUAAAUUGUAAAUAUUUUUUUCAAUUUUUAAUUUUUUUUUUAUUUCGCUUAUGGUUUUUUUCUCACUCAACUUUUCUAUGAAAAAUAAUUCAUACCUAUCACUUUUUGCCCUUUUAAGUUAUAGUUAAACAAGUUUUCUCUACUACCAGGCUAUAGAGGAAAUUCUCUAGGGGUGUACUUUGAUAGGCGGGAGAUAGAGGAGAGAAUUUGGAUCAUAUUGGGGUGCUGGGCAUAAGGGGAAUGCUGAGAGGAGGUGUCCAUCAUGUGAGAAAUCUACAAGAACUGUUUCACUAAAUCAGGAGAAUUAGAUGUUCAGAUUAGGGUCCCGGUCCUGUGCUUGUAUUUGAGAACUUGGUCUCUACUCUUCUGUCUCCAAUGGAACUUAGUCCAGGUCUGCUCACUGGUAUAGAAAAUCUUACUUGAAGCAGAAAUUCCAUGUCACCUCACGUGAACCUCUCAGAUGACUAAAUGGAAGGGAACACUCUCUUACAGAUAAAACACACAUAAAAACCAGUUCUAAGAUCUACCGCCAGACCUAGCCAAGGAGUAAAGAGAAAAUAAAACCCUAGUUCAUGCCCAUGAGGAAAACCAAGACUAAAAUCGCAUAAGGGUUACUGCAUCCUUCACUCUUUAUCUGAGAGAUCCUAUCAGAAGGUAGUAGCCCAUUAGUACUAUGCAAAAUAACAGACAUAGAUUAUAAAAUGCCUCGGUUUCCCAAGGUGGUACACUUUCCCCACUCAACUGCAUCAUUUCCAGUUUAGAUACUGGGUUUCCAGGACUCGGGAUGAAGCUUGGACUACACUUGCAUAGAGUGAAGUCUGUUUUGGGAAGAAGAAGUAGUACAGAAGAGAAAGAAUAAUAACGGGUCAGCUAGACAGAAGAUGGGAGUCAUCAAACAUGUGUCCCAGUAGCCAGACCUAUCAACUGAGCACAGGACCUUGGGAACUGGAGUCACGCAGGCAUUUUUCCUUCAAGUUUCACCUCAUCCACUUCUGAAGGAGCAUUAUCUGUGCCACUGCCGCAUUUUUACAAAAUCUCGUGGGGAUUACUACAUACAUAGGAAUUGAGAAUGGCCGCAAGGAAGAGUGACCUUCAUAGACAAUCCUGUAAGUAUCCCCAGAUUGCCCAUGUGGGUGUUUCAUUAGGAGCAUUGUUUUUAACAGGGGUGCAGUGUUUUGAUGACUGAGUCUGCAUUUUUGAGAAGAGGCCUUGGCUGUCUCUCUUACCAGUAGGACAUGAGAAAGCCUGAGAGUGCAAAGAGCUGAGGACCUUGGGAAGUGGAGCCUGGGAGGAUUAUGCAGGUUUUGCUGCAUCCCUAGCCAGCUGUAGGCUGUGAAAAGAAGUUCUUCCUUUAGUCCAGACAACUCCACUCAGGACAAAAAUGAUGGAAUUUGAGUCCUAAAAUUCAGUCGCACUGACAGGUCCCUUUGUGUGUCACAGGUGACCGAUUUGUUGAGUGCAGAGUAAUGUAUGUGCAGUCUUGAGUUUCUGCCCCCUCUCUCUAAGACAUUCUUGAACACCAGAAAUUUCCCUUGUGGCCCAGUGGGUGAAGGAUUCCCUUUUGUCACUGCGGCAUCUCGGGUGCUGUGGCAUGGAAUUUGAUACCUGGCCUAGGAACUUCCACAUGCUGCAGGCGUGGCCAAAAAGGAAAAAAAAAAAAA
rnacentral:lncRNA from 1 species